AUGCUCACCUGGCAGGGGAGAUGCCAUGAUCACGGAGGUGGGUUUUCCCAGGGUGAGGCGUAUCCAUUGCACUCCAGGUGCGCUGACGCCUGCAAUUUCCCCGAAGGCGGGAAACUCGACUGCACAAUUUGUGGUAGUGGGGGCUGUGUUCGUGCUUUCUCUUG
ensembl:snRNA U1 U1 spliceosomal RNA